CCGCCGGCGACCGGCGCACGGGUGAGUAACACGUAUGCAACCUGCCCCUGUCAGGGGGACAACCCGCCGAAAGGCGGGCUAAACCCGCGUACAUGCCACCGGGGCAUCCCGGAGGCAGGAAAGGCUUCGGCCGGACAGGGAUGGGCAUGCGGCGCAUUAGGCAGUAGGCGGGGUAACGGCCCACCGAGGCGACGAUGCGUAGGGGUUCUGAGAGGAAGGUCCCCCACACUGGUACUGAGACACGGACCAGACUCCUACGGAAGGCAGCAG
rnacentral:rRNA from 1 species